AACGAACGCUGGCGGCAUGCCUAACACAUGCAAGUCGAACGAGACCUUCGGGUCUAGUGGCGCACGGGUGCGUAACGCGUGGGGAUCUGCCCUUUGCUUCGGAAUAACAGUUAGAAAUGACUGCUAAUACCGGAUGAUGUCGUAAGACCAAAGAUUUAUCGGCAAAGGAUGAACCCGCGUAGGAUUAGCUAGUUGGUGGGGUAAAGGCCUACCAAGGCGACGAUCCUUAGCUGGUCUGAGAGGAUGAUCAGCCACACUGGGACUGAGACACGGCCCAGACUCCUACGGGAGGCAGCAGUGGGGGAAUAUUGGACAAUGGGCGAAAGGCCUGAUCCAGCAAUGCCGCGUGAGUGAUGAAGGCCUCG
rnacentral:rRNA from 1 species